rnacentral:rRNA from 1 species
GAUGAACGCUAGCGGCAGGCUUAACACAUGCAAGUCGAGGGGUAACAUGAGUGCUUGCACUUGAUGACGACCGGCGAACGGGUGCGUAACGCGUAUAGAAUCUGCCUUGUACAGGAGGAUAGCCCAGAGAAAUUUGGAUUAAUACUCCAUAAUGUUAUUUGAUGGCAUCAUUAAGUAAUUAAAGAUUUAUUGGUACAAGAUGACUAUGCGUCCUAUUAGCUAGAUGGUAAGGUAACGGCUUACCAUGGCAACGAUAGGUAGGGGGUCUGAGAGGAUUAUCCCCCACACUGGUACUGAGACACGGACCAGACUCCUACGGGAGGCAGCAGUGAGGAAUAUUGGACAAUGGGCGAGAGCCUGAUCCAGCCAUGCCGCGUGCAGGAAGACUGCCCUAUGGGUUGUAAACUGCUUUUAUACAGGAAGAAACCUACUUACGUGUAAGUAGCUGACGGUACUGUAAGAAUAAGCACCGGCUAACUCCGUGCCAGCAGCCGCGGUAAUACGGAGGGUGCAAGCGUUAUCCGGAAUCAUUGGGUUUAAAGGGUCCGCAGGCGGUCAAUUAAGUCAGAGGUGAAAUCUCACAGCUUAACUGUGAAACUGCCUUUGAUACUGGUUGACUUGAGUCAUAUGGAAGUAGAUAGAAUAAGUAGUGUAGCGGUGAAAUGCAUAGAUAUUACUUAGAAUACCGAUUGCGAAGGCAGUCUACUACGUAUGUACUGACGCUCAUGGACGAAAGCGUGGGGAGCGAACAGG